AUUGAACGCUGGCGGCAGGCCUAACACAUGCAAGUCGAACGGUAACAGGAAGCAGCUUGCUGCUUCGCUGACGAGUGGCGGACGGGUGAGUAAUGUCUGGGAAACUGCCUGAUGGAGGGGGAUAACUACUGGAAACGGUAGCUAAUACCGCAUAACGUCGCAAGACCAAAGAGGGGGACCUUCGGGCCUCUUGCCAUCGGAUGUGCCCAGAUGGGAUUAGCUAGUAGGUGGGUAACGGCUCACCUAGGCGACGAUCCCUAGCUGGUCUGAGAGGAUGACCAGCCACACUGGAACUGAGACACGGUCCAGACUCCUACGGGAGCAGCAGUGGGGAAUAUUGCACAAUGGGCGCAAGCCUGAUGCAGCCAUGCCGCGUGUAUGAAGAA
rnacentral:rRNA from 1 species